rnacentral:lncRNA from 1 species
CACGGCAUUUCUGUGAUGGGGGACAUAGUUGAUGAAGUGGUCAUUUAUUAGCAUUAGUUUGUUCAAUGCCGGUUGUUACUGAUUACCAUAACUGAAAAUUCAAUCUGUAACAUAUGAUUUAACUUUUGACUGAAAUCGCUUGUUGUCCAGUUGCAAGUAGUUCAUGCUCAUUUAGAACGAACAUACACAUAAUUCUAGAACAGAUGAAUUAAUCGUUUACUAUGUAAGUUAUGUGUUGCCAAUAAACUCCGGUCAUGCCUUUUAUUUUAAUUCGAAUAUUGCAGGCGGGCUUUCAGCAAAAUUGACUUCACUUUUUUCAACACUUCUGAUAUUUUAAAAGCUCUCCAAAUCAUUAACUGCGUAGUUAUCAGGUUUUAAUCCCAACUAGUAUUUAUCCCGAGUAACCGUAAAAAUUUAGGCACAAUCCCAAAUUCCAGGUAGGCCUGAAAAUAUGACCUAUCUUCAGUAUUUACUGAUGUGGUUCAAAUAAUGCAUGAAAUAUUGGGCACUGGAUGUUAUGCCUCUUGUUCGUGUGUCUUUAGUGAUGCUGGAACCUAAAAUUUAGGAUAAAUAUUAUUUGGGAUUUUCAUUUAAAAAAUUGAAGAGCAAGUAAAAAGACCGAUUUUUUAGGCCAGGGUUUUUUGAUUUGUUGGUUUACGGAUUUUCCCCAUGAAAAAGUCAGGUCGGUCGGUUGGGAAAAAAAAAGAAAAAAAAUAUCUUUCAAGACAGAAAAAAUUAUAUGCAAAAUAAAUAUAUAUUUCACCUUUCUUACAAUAUGUUUGUUGUGCUAUUUUGUCAUCAUUUCUUUGAUUUUAGUUCGAUGAAAUUGUAUUGCUCAGUUGUCAUAAACAUCGCAGGACAUUCUAAUAAUAUCCCGUAAAAAAAGGGGGUACACGGACAAAGACGAAAUUAAAUCGUCAUUUCACAAACAAGAAAACAGGUUUGGGUAGCUGUUAAUUAAUUCCAGAAAACUUGGUGAAUUAUGAUCUUCAAG